rnacentral:rRNA from 1 species
GUGAGGAAUUUUCCGCAAUGGGCGAAAGCCUGACGGAGCAAUGCCGCGUGAAGGAUGAAGGCCUAUGGGUUGUAAACUUCUUUUCUCAGAAAAGAAUUAUGACGGUAUCUGAGGAAUAAGCAUCGGCUAACUCUGUGCCAGCAGCCGCGGUAAGACAGAGGAUGCAAGCGUUAUCCGGAAUGAUUGGGCGUAAAGCGUCUGUAGGUUGUUUAAAAAGUAUUCUGUCAAAGAUUAGGGCUUAACCCUAGAUAGGCAGAAUAAACUUUUAAGCUAGAGUUUGGUAGAGGCAGAGGGAAUUCCCGGUGGAGCGGUGAAAUGCGUAGAUAUCGGGGGGAACACCAAAGGCGAAGGCACUCUGCUGGGCCAAUACUAACACUGAGAGACGAAAGCGAGGGGAGCAAAUGGGAUUAGAUACCCUGGUAGUCC